UACGAAGGGGGCUAGCGUUGUUCGGAAUUACUGGGCGUAAAGCGCACGUAGGCGGAUAUUUAAGUCAGGGGUGAAAUCCCGGGGCUCAACCCCGGAACUGCCUUUGAUACUGGGUAUCUCGAGUCCGAGAGAGGUGAGUGGAAUUCCGAGUGUAGAGGUGAAAUUCGUAGAUAUUCGCAAGAACACCAGUGGCGAAGGCGGCUCACUGGCCCGAUACUGACGCUGAGGCACGAAAGCGUGGGGAGCAAACAGG
rnacentral:rRNA from 1 species